rnacentral:rRNA from 1 species
UACGUAGGCAGCAAGCGUUGUUCGGAGUUACUGGGCGUAAAGGGUGUGUAGGCGGUUGUUUAAGUUUGGUGUGAAAUCUCCCGGCUCAACUGGGAGGGUGCGCCGAAUACUGAAUGACUAGAGUGCGGGAGAGGAAAGUGGAAUUCCUGGUGUAGCGGUGAAAUGCGUAGAUAAUCAGGAGGAACACCGGUGGUGUAGACGGCUUCUGGACCGUAACUGACGCUGAGACACGAAAGCGUGGGUAGCAAACAGG